rnacentral:rRNA from 1 species
GAUGAACGCUGGCGGCGUGCCUAACACAUGCAAGUCGAACGGACGGACGCGAAGCUUGCUUCUCUGACGUUAGCCGCGCACGUGUGUGUAACAUGUGUAUAACCCACCUAUAUGUCUGGGAUAACUUCGGGAAUCCGUAGCAUACACCGUAUGAUCUUCUGCACCGCAUGGUUCAAAAGUGAAAUACGGUGUUGCUGUCACUUAUAGAUGCAUCCGCGCUGCAUUGGCUAGUUGUUAGGGUAACGGGUUUCCAAGGGAACGAUGCAUAGCCGAACUGAGAGGGUGGUCGGCCGCACUGGAAGUGAGACACGCUCCUGGCUCCUGCGGGAGGCAGCAGUAGGCAAUCGUACGCAGUGGGGGGAAGCCUGACGGAACGACGGGACGUGAGUGGUGGAGGUCUUCGGAUCGUAAUGCUCUGUUAUUAGGGGAAAACAGAUUUGUACGUAGAUGAGCACAUCUUGACGGUACCUAAUCAGAAAGCCACGGCUAACUACGUG